rnacentral:rRNA from 1 species
AUACGGAGGGUGCAAGCGUUAAUCGGAAUUACUGGGCGUAAAGCGCGCGUAGGCGGUUUGUUAAGCGAGAUGUGAAAGCCCUGGGCUCAACCUGGGAACUGCAUUUCGAACUGGCAGGCUAGAGUACAAGAGAGGGUGGUAGAAUUUCCUGUGUAGCGGUGAAAUGCGUAGAUAUAGGAAGGAAUACCAGUGGCGAAGGCGGCCACCUGGCUUGAUACUGACGCUGAGGUGCGAAAGCGUGGGGAGCGAACAGGAUUAGAAACCCCGGUAGUCC